rnacentral:tRNA from 1 species
GCGACUGGGUGCCGCUGGUGACGGAGCGCCCUUUGGAGGCGGUGGCGUCGCACACGCAUUUCGACCAUAUCGGCUGCCACCACGAAUUUCCCUGCCGGUCGUACCA